GUGCUUACUUAGGCAGCAUAAUACUAAAAUUGGAACGAUAGGGAGAACAUUAGCAUGGCCCCUGCAGAAGGACGACACACACAUUCAUCAACACUUCCAUGUUUUU
ensembl:snRNA U6 U6 spliceosomal RNA